UACGUAGGGAGCAAGCGUUGUCCGGAAUCAUUGGGCGUAAAGCGCGCGUAGGUGGCCCCGUAAGUCCGCUGUGAAAGUCAAAGGCUCAACCUUUGAAAGCCGGUGGAUACUGUGGGACUAGAGUACGGAAGAGGCGAGUGGAAUUCCUGGUGUAGCGGUGGAAUGCGCAGAUAUCAGGAGGAACACCAAUAGCGAAGGCAGCUCGCUGGGACGUUACUGACACUGAGGCGCGAAAGCGUGGGGAGCGAACAGG
rnacentral:rRNA from 1 species